ACGCCUCGCCCGCUGGAGUCAGCGCCAAGCCGCCGAAGGCGUCAAACCUCAGACGAUGUGCACGUGUCGCGGUGCUGGAGGUGACAGCGGAGGCGAGUCCUGCAAACACAGAGGACGGUUCGACAGCAGCUGCAGAGGAGACAAGCGAACAGGAUGUUGUUCUGAUAAAACAGGAAACACCAAAAGAGGAAGCUGAAUCUGACCUCGCCACAACAGACGAGCUGCUCAUCAGUGAGGACGGGACCGAGGUGCCGACGUCAGACACGGAGGACAGCGAGGAGGGCGCGCCUCGGUUGAGGAUCUCAAACACAACCUGCGCCGACCUUCGGCCGUGGGACCAGAAUAAUAACGCAGUCUCAGAGCAACUCGCGCAUCACGAGUCCCGCAGCACGCCCGGUUCCCCGCGGCCCGCAG